CCUUAUUAUCAUGAUGAGCAUUAACUUUCGCCCCUAUCUGAAAUUGAAACUUCUCAUGUUGAAUGCGAGAUUGGUCUUACUGAAAAGAGUUU